rnacentral:rRNA from 1 species
CGCGUAGGUAACCUGCCUGGUAGCGGAGGAUAACUAUUGGAAACGAUAGCUAAUACCGCAUAAUAGCAGUUGUUGCAUGACAACUGUUUGAAAGGUGCAAUUGCACCACUACCGGAUGGACCUGCGUUGUAUUAGCUAGUUGGUGGGGUAACGGCUCACCAAGGCGACGAUACAUAGCCGACCUGAGAGGGUGAUCGGCCACACUGGGACUGAGACACGGCCCAG